GGAAAACCCCUAAACUUGCUUAAUUAGACUUAGGUUGCAGAUUUACUUGUGGCUUAGUUCUCUGUUUGCAGCCUCAGGAUGUAGUAUUAUUUGGAGGCGUCUCUCACAAUUUUCUUUUGUAAACGUGAAUUUUUUGUAGUUUCAAUGCUUGUGAAUGCAUUGCCUUGGGUGGAACAACUAGACAUGAAAAAUAUGCUUUUGGGCUGUUUUGAAGAUAAAGCUACGAUGAUAUUGUCAAGAGACCAAACUUUCAAACCUUCUGAUAAGAAAUCAUCACAACAUAAACAUCAAAAUCGAAAACACAAUGUUCAUGUGCUUUUGAAUUCUAGUUCUAAAAAUCCAAAGGUAUGCAUUCUUAUUUAAUUUUGAUCUAAGGAGUUCAUUAAAAUAAAUGACAUAGAUUUAUACUUGGAGGAAAUUGCACUUGAGAAAUUUGAAUUACACUUGUCUCUAGGCAUGGCAACGGGGCGGGGACGAGUUUUGCCUCUCCCACCCCCUCACUCGACUAGUUGAGAAAAACCUGCACUCUCUCUAUUUCUUUUUGGGUGCGAAAUUUAGGUCUCCAUCUCCGUCCUUGUUAUUUUCAAAGCAAGUCUCUCUAUCCCUUUUUAGUUUUUUAAAAAAUAGUGGGAAAACCCCUAAACUUGCUUAAUUAGACUUAGGUUGCAGAUUUACUUGUGGCUUAGUUCUCUGUUUGCAGCCUCAGGAUGUAGUAUUAUUUGGAGGCGUCUCUCACAAUUUUCUUUUGUAAACGUGAAUUUUUUGUAGUUUCAAUGCUUGUGAAUGCAUUGCCUUGGGUGGAACAACUAGACAUGAAAAAUAUGCUUUUGGGCUGUUUUGAAGAUAAAGCUACGAUGAUAUUGUCAAGAGACCAAACUUUCAAACCUUCUGAUAAGAAAUCAUCACAACAUAAACAUCAAAAUCGAAAACACAAUGUUCAUGUGCUUUUGAAUUCUAGUUCUAAAAAUCCAAAG
rnacentral:lncRNA from 1 species